GCUGAAUAUCACUCCAUAACUGAAUAUCACUCCACAGACAGUCAACAUGCACAGCUGAAUAUCACUCCAUAGCUGAAUAUCACUCCACAGACAGUCAACAUGCACAGCUGAAUAUCACUCCAUAGCUGAAUAUCACUCCACAGACAGUCAACAUGCACAGCUGAAUAUCACUCCAUAGACAGUCAACAUGCACAGCAUACACACCAGGACGCCUCUCGAGGCCCAUAUCAGUACCAGAGGUUAUAGGGAGGUCAGCUUGUCUGACUUUGACCAGAACCCCCCAUGUGUAACUGGACCUGGUCUGCCAACCUGCUCCCUGCGCUAUGCGUCUCCCUCUCUAAACCUGGUAUGAAUAGAUGUCCAUGCCUGCUCCCUCCGUUAACCCAGGGGGCUAAGAAGCCAUGCUUCCCUUUUUAAACGCUCUGACGUGUCUGUCUGGAUUCCUCCUGUCUGCACCUGGCUACCUCUCUGGGCUACACACACACACACACACCGGUCUACAGAAGCUCUGACAGGGGGAAUGCAGAGAGGGGUGUACGUUUGAGGAGAGGGUGUGUGUGUGUGUGUGUGUGUGUGUGUGUGUGUGUGUGUGUGUGCGUGUAGGGAGGUACUGUGUACAGUAUGGAGGGCAGGAAGGUCUGUGUGCCUCUGUCUGUAGACAGCCACUGCUUUGGUUAAGUAUAACUAUAUAACUAUAAGAAAUCUAAGAUGUAUCAAAUAAAUGAUAUCCAGCUCAGGCCUCUAGCUAUGCAUUUGGUUUGCUAACUUGCUAAGUGGUUAGAUGUCCGGAUCAAGCUUCUUGGUUACAGCAGACACAUUCAAUCCUCUCCUGGAUCAAGAUCCCUGUUGCCUUAAUAGUUUUGUGCAGUUUUUUAAAAACAAAAUAGCGCCCCUUGUUUGCACAUUAGGUAAUACCUUAUAUAUAUGGUAUAUAUGUAUAUAUGGUAUAUAUAUUCUGUACCAGUAAUGGUACAGAAACGGUAUGAUGGUAUGAAAAUCUGAACCCUGGUGCGGGCAUGUGUGUGGGUAUGUGUGUGUUUGCAUCUCACUGGAUGUUGUCAGCUGGUCCAUGUUCAAAGGAAUUCCUUUACCAGCAUAGUGUCAACUAUGGAUCAUAACUCUACAGCCGUCUGCCAUAUUGGGAGAUAAUGUCCAAUCAGCAAGCUAAGGUCAAGUGUUUUCACCUCGUGAACCCAAACCGCUCCUUUCCAGUAAACAUGUAUUAAAGUGUGUGUGUCCAUGUGUCUUUGUGUCCAUGUGUGUCCAUGUGUGUGUUUGUACCUAGAAGCCAAGCCUCCAGUGAUCCACUUACCAGAACAGUAAGCAAAGCUAUGUUUAAUAAUGCAGGUAACAGAAUCCUCCUUAAUACUGAGCCGACACAAUGGGCCUCUCAAGACUCUCUGUACUGUCCUCUCCUGCUCCUAGGGGAUAUAGUAGCAGAGGAGCACUAUCCAAUGUGAUUGAAUGACUUGACAGCAGGCCCUGUGAAGUGAAUGAGAGAAUGUAUGUGCGUACUUGGGUGUAUACUUCUGCAUCAACACACCAAUUUGGGGUGGCAGGGUAGCCUAGUGGUUAGAGCGUUGGACUAGUAACUGGAAGGUUGCAAGUUCAAACCCCUGAGCUGACAAGGUACAAAUCUGUUGUUCUGCCCCUGAACAAGGCAGUUAACCCACUGUUCCUGGGCUGUCAUUGAAAAUAAGAAUUUGUUCUUAACUGACUUGCCUAGGUAAAUAAAGGUUAAAAAAAAAUUUAAAAUAAUUUUAUUUUCAUUUCACCGGGCACUUGAUUGAGGGAACAACUCAUUUAAAAUUACCUUGUUCUUACAUUUGGUUGCAAGAAGCCAAAUAUCAAGUCUAAGUUUUCCCCUUUCUACAAGUAAUACAUUUUUCCUAUUAGGUCCUUUCAGAUGCUGCUACCUGACAAGCUGCUUAGAGCCUGAUGGAGAGAGGAGGAGGGAGGGAGGGGGCGAUAGGCCAGUGUCCACCCCCCUCUCUCUCUCGCUCUCUCUCUACCCCCUCUCUCUCUCUCUCUCUCUCUCUCUCUCUCUCCUCUCUCUCUCUCUCCCCCUCUCUCCCUACUCUCUGUCUCUCUGUCUCUCUCUCUCUCUACUCUCUCUCUCUCUCCCCUCUCUCUCUCUCUCUCUCUCUCUCUCUCUCUCUCUCUCUCUCUCCCCUCUCUCUCUCCUACUCUCUCUCUCUCCUACUCUCUGUCUCUCUCUGUCUCUCCUACUCUCUCUCUCCUACUCUCUGUCUCUCUCUGUCUCUCCUACUCUCUCUCUCUACCCCUCUCUCUCUCUCUCUCUCUCCUACUCUCUGUCUCUCUGUCUCUCUCUCUGUCUCUCCUACUCUCUCUCUCUCCCCCCUCUCUCUCUCUCUCUCUCUGUGAUUGUGUGUUUAUGCUUCAAUCCUAACGAUUGUUCUGGGUCUUCUGAGGUGUGUUGAAGCUGUCUUCUCUGGUACAGGACCACACAUGCCCCCUUGGUGACCGACUGCCUUUGCCCUGAACUACUUUCAGUAACCAUCUCUGUCUGUCUCUCCACAGUGUCUCCUGACUCCUCCUGUCUCCGCCUCCAGUAUUUAUGCUGCAGUAGUUUAUGUGUCAGUUUGUUAUAUCUGGAGUACUUCUCCUGUCUUAUCCGGUGUCCUGUGUGAAUUUAAGUAUGCUCUCUCUAAUUCUCUCUUUCUCUCUUUCUUUCUCUCUCUCGGAGGACCUGAGCCCUAGGACCAUGCCUCAGGACUACCUGGCAUGAUGACUCCUUGCUGUCCCCAGUCCGCCUGGCCGUGCUGCUGCUCCAGUUUCAACUGUUCUGCCUGUGAUUAUUAUUAUUUGACCAUGCUGGUCAUUUAUGAACAUUUGAACAUCUUGGCACAGCCAGAAGAGGACUGGCCACCCCUCAUAGCCUGGUUCCUCUCUUCCUUUCUUCCUAGGUUUUGGCCUUUCUAGGGAGUUUUUCCUAGACACCGUGCUUCUACACCUGCAUUGCUUGCUGUUUGGGGUUUUAGGCUGGGUUUCUGUGCAGUACUUUGAGAUAUCAGCUGAUGUACGAAGGGCUUUAUAAAUACAUUUGAUUUGGACUUAACAUCUGUCCUGUCCAAAAAUAAAUCGAGAAAUUACAAUAGUGGAUCCAAACUCUCAUCUCCUUUUAAAAAAAAUGAAAACAAGUUGUCCUGACCUGGUUGACUGGGACUAAGGUACUGGAGUACCAGUGUAGGCCGCCGGGUCUGUGAUGGUCCUUUGGGGUGAGGUAGUAGGUUGUAUAGUUUUAGGGUCAUACCCUUCCUGUCAGAUAACUAUACAACUUACUGUCUUUCCUGAAGUGGCUGUAAUAUCAUCCAUCAUCUCUGCAGCGCGCCCGCCACCCGGACCUCGAUGGGAAUAUGUACUAUGAACCAAUUCAAGAUGAUAACAUGCUUGUAAUGUCAUUCAUAUGGCAUCUAUGCAUCAUUCGGUUCUGUUUUGGUAUGGCUCUUUGUUCAUUUCAAUACUUUUGUUUGUAUGAUGUAUUUAUUAUUUUGCCAUGAAAGGGAUCUGCCUCUCUGAUGUUCGCACGGGGUGAGGUAGUAGGUUGUGUGGUUUCAGGGUAGUGAUUUUGCCCCAUCAGGAGAUAACUAUACAACUUACUGCCUUCCCUGAAGGGCAGCAACACUACACCAGACAACUGCAGAGGGUGCUGUUGGCACCACGUGAUAAUCUAGCAUUGGAACGAGGUCAUCUAGGUUUUGAUCAGCUACAGAGGUGACUGCAGCGUUUCAGGUAAAGUCUCCUGACAAUCUAGUAUUACGAUGUAGCUACCAUGUUAUUUGAUCACUUUGAAAUAGUAUUUAUUCAAAUAAGCAAUAAAAAAGUAUUAUUUUAUAAAUGUCAACUGUCUGUACUUCGUCUUUCAUUUUGCUCUGUUUGGAUUUAAGAAUCAUAUGAAACUCUUCAGCAGAUGAUAGACAGGACUCUAGCUCCCUAGUCCUAGCCAACAACGCAGAGAGAUAGAGAGAAGACGGAGUGUGUUUGCCAGUCAGUAUCGGGCCAAUAUGGGUUUCAGACGUGCCUUACUGUCUAGGACUGCAGUCUGUCUGCUGUAUCUCAUAGCAAGGACAGAUAGAUUUAUUGCCCUGGCUGGUCCAGGCCUGGUUCAGGUUCACACUGGGACCUUUACCUUAGUGCCUGGCCUUGAGCAGCUCACAGGCAGAUAGCUGUAACUCUUUCUUUGGUCUCAUGGGUGGAAUGUUAUUAAUCUAUUUCAUUAUUAAUAAAGAUUAUACCUUUUUUAAACAUCUAAAAGCUGGUGUUUCUAUGUCAAAUAGUUUUGUUCCAUUUCAGUCUUGUGUGAUAUAUAUGUAUAGGGAUGCGAACUCAAAAUGAAAUAAAUAUCAAGUCUAUGUCUGACAUGGUAUAGGUGCCUUAUUU
ensembl:lncRNA